AGCGAACGCUGGCGGCAGGCUUAACACAUGCAAGUCGAGCGGGCCCUUCGGGGUCAGCGGCAGACGGGUGAGUAACGCGUGGGAACGUGCCCUUCGGUUCGGAAUAACUCAGGGAAACUUGAGCUAAUACCGGAUACGCCCUUAUGGGGAAAGGCUUGCUGCCGAAGGAUCGGCCCGCGUCUGAUUAGCUAGUUGGUGAGGUUAUGGCUCACCAAGGCGACGAUCAGUAGCUGGUCUGAGAGGAUGAUCAGCCACACUGGGACUGAGACACGGCCCAGACUCCUACGGGAGGGAGCAGUGGGGAAUAUUGGACAAUGGGGGCAACCCUGAUCCAGCCAUGCCGCGUGAGUGAUGACGGCCUUAGGGUUGUAAAGCUCUUUUCUCCGGGACGAUAAUGACGGUACCGGAGGAAUAAGCCCCGGCUAACUUCGUG
rnacentral:rRNA from 1 species